rfam:Sparrow coronavirus HKT17 strain HKT17-6124, complete genome.
GGUAAAAAUUUAUAUUAUAUAAUUUUUAUCUCCCUAGCUUCGCUAGUUCGCUACCGACACCAAUCCAGGUGCGUUGCUUCAAGUUGGCUACCCAUCCCAGGGGCGCUGUUGCGCUUGCUCACCAUUAGAUUACCUGGAAACCAGCCACUCAGGUUGGAGUUUCCCCAGGCUCUUUUGCGUGGGCAUUGGCCGCUUGUGGCUUUUGCACAAAAUUUCAGCUACUUUCAGUUCCUCUGGCCGUUUACCUCCUCUAUAGACAGCACUGACCA